GGGCGGAGCCAGAUCACGUGCCCCGCAGGCGCCCGAUGGGGGCAGAGGAAGCUGCCUCCGACUCAGCCAGGGCUCAAAGUCCUCGACGCGGCUUCUGCGGUUUGAAACUCGGAACCUCCUCACGCAUCGAGAGUUCAAUGUUUGAAUGCAAUUUAAUCGAGGCCACUGUAUGGUCUUGGUGUGGUCCUUUGAAUGUCGGUGUUUUGCCAUCUUGCCCAAGCUUGGAUUUGAUGUUGACAAAUCUACAGGGAGGGGGUUCUGUGACCAAGAUCGCUAACUACAGUACCAUGCAGCACGAGGUGGCCCACCUGAGGUCACCUGACCACUCCGCCGAGAUCUCCACCUCGUCGUUCCCCUCGUCAGGGGAGGCCGCUGUACGAACCCUCGGAGGCUGUUUGAGGAGGUGGACAAGGAGGAGGUGGGCAAGAAGGUUGAGGAGCCGCUCCUGCACUUUGUCAGGUUCGAGAACGCUCACAUCGAGUGGAGCCUCCACUUCAUCAGGGAGCGUCUCCUGCCACGGGCUCCCACGCACGGCCACCACCACCACGGUCAUCGUCACCACGGCCACUGCCACCAUGGCCACCGCCAACACGGCCACCACGGUCACCACCACCACC